rnacentral:rRNA from 1 species
UUAACUUACAUCCACACCGCCAGGGAAUUACGAGCAAUGCUUAAAACCCAAAGGAUUUGACGGUGUCCCACCCCACUAGAGGAGCCUGUUCUAUAAUCGAUGAUCCCCGCUUCACCUAACCAUGCCUCGCUUAUCAGUCUGUAUACCUCCGUCGAAAGCCUACCAUGUGAACGUCCGCAGUAGGCUCAAUGAUUCACCAUCAACACGUCAGGUCAAGGUGCAGCUCAAGGAAUGGAAAGCAAUGGGCUACAAUUUCUAACUUAGAACAAACGAAAGACUAUGUGAAAUCCUAGUCAUGAAGGUGGAUUUAGUAGUAAAAAGAAACUAGAGUGUUCUUUUUAACCCGGCUCUGGGACGCGUACACACCGCCCGUCACCCUCUUCGAUAGUAUCUUAUUUGUUCCUAACCAAACAUCACAUUUUAGAAGAGGCAAGUCGUAACAUGGUAAGUGUACUGGAAAGUGCACUUGGUAUAC